CAUCAUUUUCAGGCUGUAGGCAUGCAGCAAGACUUGCGCCAAGGCCCUCUGUGUGCCUGGUCCCCUCUGCCCAGCGAGACAGACUGAGGGCUCCAGAGCAGCCACCUGCAGGGGAGCUUCAGGACCUUUGAGGCUUUUCCAGUGUUUCUGUUCCUCUGCCCGCUCCCUUCUCAGCCUCGGCUGAGAACCAGAUCAAGAACAGAGAUCUGGGAGACCUGCAGGCGGGCCGUUGAGUGGGUGUUAGCACCAGCAUGGAGGCGGGCGGGGGUGGGCCCCUUCCUCUGUUCUUGUGCCCUCCUUCCCCUGCUCAGGCCUGAGGGGGUGGGGGCCGCAAGCAGCUGGAGAUACUUUUGCAGCCUCCCAGUUCUCCGUGGACAUCUGGGCUACCGUGGAGGCCCCUGAUGUGGUCUCGAGACCCUGCGGCCUUGGGAAUCCUGCCAGCAUUCCUGUUCUCCUCCAGUGUUCCUAUGGGGUCAAAGGCUUGCAGUCCCUUGUUCUUGGGGGUCUCUCAACCCCGCCAGGCCAUGUGGGUCCAGUGGUGGGGGGUUACCUUCUUAUCCCUCUGUCCUCUUCCUGUGCUCCGUGAUGUGGGCUGGUGCUGAGGGCCAGGACACUCUGUGACCCCAGCCGGAGGUCACAUCUUAGGUUCAGGAUCUGCAGGCUUUACCUUACACUGUAGUGAGGAAAGAGGCCGCCAGGUGGCGGCACAGCUGUGCCCAUCCCCUCAUCCUGCUCAUCAGCUGCGCUGAGUGCCCCGUCUAUAGGGCAGGGGGCCUCCCUCCAGGGGCUGACAUCUGCUUCUCCACCUUCCCUGCCUUCUGGGCACUCACAUACCUCUUCCACAGGCUCAGUCGUAACACAGGGCAGGAGGCCCUGGGAUUUGGGGUUCCAUGCUCUUUCCUAACGGAAUAUUCUGUGUCUCACAUGUGGCCCAACCAGCCGGCUUUGGUUCCCAGAAGAGGAAAUGAGUUGCUGAGGAUUCAGGGCAGGAAAGUCACCUGCUGAGCGACUCCAGAACUGAGGUGGUUCCCCUCCCCCACUGGCUUUUCUCCUGUGAAUCUGCUCCGGGGGCGGUUGGGGGUGGGGAUGUGAGUUGCUGCCACUGGGAGAUGCUUCUCUUGGUUUUUCCAGUUUUGAUAAUUCUCUGGAGCUCUCUGAGCCUCUCCCCCAUUUUGAGCUGGCUGUCCACGUGGCCUUGGGCUGGCAGCUGAUUCUGGGCAGCAUGGUACAAACAUUGCUUUGCUUAUUUCAUGAAGUCUUUUUAAAGUGCUGGUAUCUGAGUAUUUUAUGCAUAGGAGGAGUGAAAAUUUAUAGUGGCAAUUAUUUUCUCACAGUCUGGUGAGCAAGCAAUUAGAAGUAAGGGGGCUUAGCAGAGCGUGGCUUGCGGCAGACUCACCCCAACUCCCCGAGAGCACGGUCCCCAAUCCCACCAACAAUAAAGGCUCGUAGGCAGGAAAAUUAAUAUGCCGGCAUUUAAACCUGUGCCUCUCUGGUUGGUGUAAUCGCUCUGAAAUAAAUUAUCCAAUGCUGUGAAAAAUGAA